rnacentral:rRNA from 1 species
UACGUAGGGUCCGGGCGUUGUCCGGAAUUAUUGGGCGUAAAGGGCUCGUAGGCGGUUUGUCGCGUCGGGAGUGAAAACUCAGGGCUCAACCCUGAGCGUGCUUCCGAUACGGGCAGACUAGAGGUAUGCAGGGGAGAACGGAAUUCCUGGUGUAGCGGUGGAAUGCGCAGAUAUCAGGAGGAACACCGGUGGCGAAGGCGGGUCUCUGGGCAGUAACUGACGCUGAGGAGCGAAAGCGUGGGGAGCGAACAGG